UUUUUUUUUUUUUUUUUUUAUAUUUUUAGGGCCGCACCUGCAGCAUAUGGAAGAAAGAUUCCAGGCUAGGGGUCACAUUGGAACUGCAGCUGCUGGCCUACACCACAGCCACAGCCACAUCAGAUCUGAGUCACAUCUUGCAGCCUGUGCUGCAGCUUGCAGCAACACUAGGUCCUUAACCCACUGAGUGAGACCAGGGAUUGAAUCCACAUCCUUGCAGAUACCAUGUCAUUUUCUUAACCUGCUGAGCCACAACACAAAGUCCUGAAUUAUCAUGCUUUUUAACUGCUCUAGUUUACACAGCUUCCAGGAACAUCCAGCUCCCACAAGGUACUCUUACUCCAGAGCUUUUGCUGAUGCAAGGAUCCAGUCACAGUGACAUGACACCUCUCCUUUCCCUCAAUUCUAGGAAAGCAGGAUGAAGGGUGAACAACCAUCCAGGUGCAGCCAAGGUUAAAACCACAGCUGAACAGAAUUAAGUGUCCGGUGAUCUCCCCUUAGCCUUAUUUUCAACCAGCGUCCCACAACAAAAUGAAGGUGCAAACCAUAUUCCUCCUCCUUCCCACCCCUCCCCCACCUCCCCUCAACUUGGACCCUGAUCCCAGACCUUGAGGACUAGGAGCCUGGUGAUCUGUGUCCUUAUGUUGCUUGCUCACCGAGUUGGAGAAGGGAUGGGCAUGGAGUUCAUUAGAAGUCCCAGAACUCCAAAUCCACUCUCCAGGUUGUUAAGAGAUGACCGAGGUAGGCUGCCUUGGUUUCCCCAAGGUGGUCUAAAGAGGUCAAAAGGAGAACAGCUCAGAGAGAUUUUUUUUUUUUUGUCUUUUGUUGUUGCUAUUUCUUGGGCCGCUCCCGCGGCAUAUGGAGGUUCCCAGGCUGGGGGUCCAAUCGGAGCUGUAGCCGCCAGCCUACACCAGAGCCACAGCAACAUGGGAUCUGAGCCGAGUCUGCAACCUACACCACAGCUCACGGCAACGCCGGAUCGUUAACCCACUGAGCAAGGGCAGGGACCGAACCCGCAACCUCAUGGUUCCUAUCGGAUUCGUUAACCACUGAGCCACGACGGGAACUCCCAGAGAGAUCUUGAUUGGAAUAUGCCCUAGGUUUAUUGAGCAAUCAAUUGUCCUCAGAGAUGGUCUUCAAGGACCUCUGUCAAAUCCUUGGUUCUUAGCUUGGUUCCUUAAUGCACUUAGGAAGCAAAAAAGGGCCAUUCACUGCUGACCAUAUGCUGCUCCCAAAUCAUCCAGGGAUGUCACUAGAGCAAGCUUCAGUCAGCCAGGUCUUGAGCUCUUCACCUGUGAAGGUCAAGCCCAAAACAAAUUGGAGAGGAUCCUGGGCUUUGGAGCAGAACACCCCUGAAAUUGAACACUGAGGGGGCCCCAGGAUUCUGAUACAGACGGGCACAUCUGAAGGGAAGCCAGGACUAGAUCUUGUUACAGCAAGAAUACUGCAUUUAUGGAAGAAGGCAGGGGAGUGAUGCAGAUUAUACAAUGUGUUAAGCCUCCCAAAGUUACCCCUUCAUGAAUCAGUGUUAGAAUUCUGACUCUAUUUUGUCCUGGCUGUGAACCUCAGCUGUAUUCCUUCACCUCUUUGGUCCUUAGUUUUAUUGUCUGUAAAAUGGGAGUAAUGUUGCAGGGAUGUUGUGUACAUAAAAUGUGAUUAACAUUAGUAAGAGCUCAGCAGAGGGCAGAGCCCAUGGUGGAUUAGCAGUUGCCAGCUAAUUCAGAGUCCCUGGGACUGGGACCUUGAGGACUAUUUAUGUUGUCUAUUUCUUCUUAAAUGUAGACUGUGCUUUCUCAGAAUUUGUCUAUUUCAUCAAAGUUAUUGAAUUUAUUGGUAUAAAGUUGUUAAUACUAUUUCUUUAUUAUCCUUUUAAUAUAUGUAAACUCUGU
rnacentral:lncRNA from 1 species